GGCUAUAUACAGGGUGUUACGGUACAGAGUCAAUGUGGAGGCUAUAUACAGGGUGUUACGGUACAGAGUCAAUGUGGAGGCUAUAUACAGGGUGUUACGGUACAGAGUCAAUGUGGAGGCUAUAUACAGGGGGUUCCGGUACAGAGUCAAUGUGGAGGCUAUAUACAGGGGGGUACGGUACAGAGUCAAUGUGGAGGCUAUAUACAGGGGGUACCGGUACAGAGUCAAUGUGGAGGCUAUAUACAGGGGGUACCGGUACAGAGUCAAUGUGGAGGCUAUAUACAGGGGGUACCGGUACAGAGUCAAUGUGGAGGCUAUAUACAGGGGGUUAUGGUACAGAGUCAAUGUGGAGGCUAUAUACAGGGGGUACCGGUACAGAGUCAAUGUGGAGGCUAUAUACAGGGGGUACUGGUACAGAGUCAAUGUGGAGGCUAUAUACAGGGGGUACCAGUACAGAGUCAAUGUGGAGGCUAUAUACAGGGGGUACCGGUACAGAGUCAUUGUGGAGACUAU
ensembl:lncRNA